rnacentral:rRNA from 1 species
GACGUAGGGCGCGAGCGUUGUCCGGAUUUAUUGGGCGUAAAGAGCUCGUAGGCGGCUUGUCGCGUCGGCUGUGAAAACCCGGAGCUCAACUCCGGGCCUGCAGUCGAUACGGGCAGACUGGAGUUCGGCAGGGGAGACUGGAAUUCCUGGUGUAGCGGUGAAAUGCGCAGAUAUCAGGAGGAACACCGGUGGCGAAGGCGGGUCUCUGGGCCGAUACUGACGCUGAGGAGCGAAAGCGUGGGGAGCGAACAGG